rnacentral:rRNA from 1 species
UACGAAGGGGGCUAGCGUUGCUCGGAAUCACUGGGCGUAAAGGGUGCGUAGGCGGGUCUUUAAGUCAGGGGUGAAAUCCUGGAGCUCAACUCCAGAACUGCCUCUGAUACUGAGGAUCUUGAGUUCGGGAGAGGUGAGUGGAAUUCCCAGUGUAGAGGUGAAAUUCGUAGAUAUUGGGAAGAACACCAGUGGCGAAGGCGGCUCACUGGCUCGUAACUGACGCUCAGGCGCGACAGCGUGGGGAUCAAACAGG